rnacentral:rRNA from 1 species
AAACCAACAGGGAUUGCCUCAGUAACGGCGAGUGAAGCGGCAACAGCUCAAAUUUGAAAUCUGGCUCUUUUAGGGUCCGAGUUGUAAUUUGUAGAAGAUGCUUUGGGUGUAGCUCCGGUCUAAGUUCCUUGGAACAGGACGUCAUAGAGGGUGAGAAUCCCGUACGUGACUGGGUGCUUUCGCUCGUGUAAAGCUCUUUCAACGAGUCGAGUUGUUUGGGAAUGCAGCUCAAAAUGGGUGGUAAAUUUCAUCUAAAGCUAAAUAUUGGCCAGAGACCGAUAGCGCACAAGUAGAGUGAUCGAAAGAUGAAAAGCACUUUGGAAAGAGAGUUAAACAGUACGUGAAAUUGUUGAAAGGGAAGCGCUUGCAACCAGACUUGCAUACUGUUGAUCAUCCGAGAUUUUUCCCGGUGCACUCGGCAGUAUUCAGGCCAGCAUCGGUUUUGGUGGGCGGAUAAAGGCCUUGGGAAUGUAGCUUCUUUCGGGGAGUGUUAUAGCCCUCGGUGCAAUGCGCCCUACCGGGACCGAGGACCGCGCUUCGGCUAGGAUGCUGGCGUAAUGGUUGUAAGCGAC